AUCCUUCGGUUCAUGCAAAUGAUGACUGGUGUAAUCACGGGAACUCCGUGAGAAGGCAUGCCCCCCUCUUGUUACGCAACAUGUCUUAAGCCGUCUGACC